UGCCUCAGUAACGGCGAGUGAAGCGGCAACAGCUCAAAUUUGAAAUCUGGCCGUUCAGCGGUCCGAGUUGUAAUUUGUAGAGGAUGCUUCGGGUGCGGCGCCGGUCUAAGUUCCUUGGAACAGGACGUCAUAGAGGGUGAGAAUCCCGUAUGUGACCGGUGACCCAGCCCGUGUGAAGCUCCUUCGACGAGUCGAGUUGUUUGGGAAUGCAGCUCUAAAUGGGUGGUAAAUUUCAUCUAAAGCUAAAUACCGGCCAGAGACCGAUAGCGCACAAGUAGAGUGAUCGAAAGAUGAAAAGCACUUUGGAAAGAGAGUUAAAAAGUACGUGAAAUUGUUGAAAGGGAAGCGCUUGCGACCAGACUCGCUCGCGGGCGAUCAGCCGUCCUUUUGGGCGGUGCACUCACCUGUGAUCGGGCCAGCAUCGGUUCGGGCGGCCGGAUAACGGCCCCGGGAAUGUGGCUCCCCUCGGGGAGUGUUAUAGCCCGGGGCGCAAUGCGGCCCGCCGGGACCGAGGACCGCGCUUCGGCUAGGAUGCUGGCGUAAUGGUCGUAAGCGACCCGUCUUGAAACACGGACCAAGGAGUCUAACAUCUGUGCGAGUGUUUGGGUGUCAAACCCAUGCGCGGAAUGAAAGUGAACGGAGGUGGGAACCCUUCAGGGUGCACCAUCGACCGAUCCUGAUGUCUUCGGAUGGAUUUGAGUAAGAGCAUAGCUGUUGGGACCCGAAAGAUGGUGAACUAUGCCUGAAUAGGGUGAAGCCAGAGGAAACUCUGGUGGAGGCUCGCAGCGGUUCUGACGUGCAAAUCGAUCGUCAAAUUUGGGUAUAGGGGCGAAAGACUAAUCGAACCAUCUAGUAGCUGGUUCCUGCCGAAGUUUCCCUCAGGAUAGCAGUAACGUUUUCAGUUUUA
rnacentral:rRNA from 1 species